rnacentral:rRNA from 1 species
UACGUAGGGUGCAAGCGUUGUCCGGAAUUAUUGGGCGUAAAGAGCUCGUAGGCGGUCUGUCGCGUCGGCUGUGAAAACCCGGGGCUCAACCCCGGGCCUGCAGUCGAUACGGGCAGACUCGAGUGCGGUAGGGGAGACUGGAAUUCCUGGUGUAGCGGUGAAAUGCGCAGAUAUCAGGAGGAACACCGGUGGCGAAGGCGGGUCUCUGGGCCGUAACUGACGCUGAGGAGCGAAAGCGUGGGGAGCGAACAGG